rnacentral:rRNA from 1 species
CACAGAGGUCCCAAGCGUUGUUCGGAUUCACUGGGCGUAAAGGGUGCGUAGGCGGUGAGGUAAGUUUGACGUGAAAUCUCCGGGCUCAACCCGGAACUGCGUUGAAUACUAUCUCGCUAGAGGAAUGGAGGGGAGACUGGAAUACUUGGUGUAGCAGUGAAAUGCGUAGAUAUCAAGUGGAACACCAGUGGCGAAGGCGAGUCUCUGGACAUUUCCUGACGCUGAGGCACGAAAGCCAGGGGAGCAAACGGG